GACGAACGCUGGCGGCGUGCUUAACACACGCAAGUCGAACGAAGAGCGAUGGAAGCUUGCUUCUAUCAAUCUUAGUGGCGAACGGGUGAGUAACGCGUAAUCAACCUGCCCUUCAGAGGGGGACAACAGUUGGAAACGACUGCUAAUACCGCAUACGAUCUAAUCUCGGCAUCGAGGAUAGAUGAAAGGUGGCCUCUACAUGUAAGCUAUCACUGAAGGAGGGGAUUGCGUCUGAUUAGCUAGUUGGAGGGGUAACGGCCCACCAAGGCGAUGAUCAGUAGCCGGUCUGAGAGGAUGAACGGCCACAUUGGGACUGAGACACGGCCCAGACUCCUACGGGAGGCAGCAGUGGGGAAUCUUCCGCAAUGGACGAAAGUCUGACGGAGCAACGCCGCGUGAGUGAUGACGGCCUUCGGGUUGUAAAGCUCUGUUAAUCGGGACGAAAGGCCUUCUUGCGAAUAGUGAGAAGGAUUGACGGUACCGGAAUAGAAAGCCACGGCUAACUACGUG
rnacentral:rRNA from 1 species